AUUGAACGCUGGCGGCAUGCCUUACACAUGCAAGUCGAACGGUAACGGGCCUUCGGGUGCCGACGAGUGGCGAACGGGUGAGUAAUGUAUCGGAACGUACCUUUCAGUGGGGGAUAACGUAGCGAAAGUUACGCUAAUACCGCAUAUUCUGUGAGCAGGAAAGCAGGGGAUCGCAAGACCUUGCGCUGAUUGAGCGGCCGAUAUCAGGUUAGCUAGUUGGUGAGGUAAAGGCUCACCAAGGCGACGAUCUGUAGCGGGUCUGAGAGGAUGAUCCGCCACACUGGAACUGAGGCACGGUCCAGACUCCUACGGGAGGCAGCAGUGGGGAAUUUUGGAAAAUGGGGGCAACCCUAAUCCAGCCAUGCCGCGUGAGUGAAGAAGGCCUUCGGGUUGUAAAGCUCUUUCGGCCGGGAAGAAAUCGUAUCAGCUAAUACCUGGUGCGGAUGACGGCACCGGCAUAAGAAGCACCGGCUAACUACGUGCCAGCCGCCGCCGUAAGAC
rnacentral:rRNA from 1 species